rnacentral:rRNA from 1 species
UACGUAGGGUCCGAGCGUUGUCCGGAGUUACUGGGCGUAAAGCGCGCGCAGGCGGCGGUGUUAGCCCGGCGUGAAAGCCCCCGGCUCAACCGGGGAGGGUCGUCGGGGACCGCACCGCUUGAGGGCGGUAGGGGCUGGUGGAAUGCCUGGUGUAGUGGUGAAAUGCGUAGAGAUCAGGCGGAACACCUGUGGCGAAGGCGGCCAGCUGGGCCGUCCCUGACGCUGAGGCGCGAAGGCGUGGGGAGCGAACGGG